CCAAAGGCAUGCGCCACCACUGCCCAGCUAGGAUGCUGAGUUUUAUUAGAUGCUUUUCUACAUCUUUUAAGAUGAUCAGUACUUUUUGUUUAUUCUGUUAAUGUGGUAUAUUGUUGGUUUGCCUAUGUUUUGAACUGGGAACAUCAGAAAAUGGAAAGACUUUCCCCAUUUAAUGAGGAAUUCACCCAAAGAGCCAGGGAGUGGUGCUGGUCUGAAAGACCCCCGGAGGCUCAGGCCUCCAGGAUUUCGGCCCAGGACUGCCAACGACCCCAAUCACUAAGCGGAGUUGAAAGCUUGAUGCAAACAGCACGAGGAUUUAUUGGAGUUGUUUAACGAGCUAACCCCAUGUUAGCUGGGGCCUUUCAUCCAUCCACCAUGGGGGAUGGCUGGGAAAGACUCCAAGAAGCUGCAUAGAGAUCUUGUAGGGCAGCAUAAGGGGAGUGUCUAGGGGUAUGCACAGGCUCAGGAUUGGUGUGCCUCCAGGCUUGGAGGGCUUACCCUGUGUUGAUUGGCCAACUGGUUGCUAUGGCCCAUAGGCCCUCCCAGGGUGGUUGCUAUGCUCUGUAUGUCAUUGCUGUGCACUUGUCCGUAAAGCACACCCAGAGACGUAAAGCAUAGCACUACCAGCUAACUUCUGAUUGGUUCCUUGCCACGAGGCAGGCAUCUGACCUCCUAGUGACCAAGGUAAGGUUAGGCAAACAUGUUUUAGACUGUCAUGGCUGCCGAAAUGGGCAGCUGGUCCCUUCAGGUCUAAGGCCUGUUUGUUCUGAACAUUGAUCAUGAGGUCUACUGUUGCUGUGCUGGUGCUUUUGUAGCAUUCCUCCAGCAAGGGGCAAGAAAGUCUUCUCUCUCCGACAGGCUUAUCAGAUUGGCAUUGAAGACAUUAACUUCUCACUGUGCAGAGAUUGUGAUUUUGCAAUCUAGACAACUAAACGAGGCAAGUACAGAAGGAGUCUAUAAAGGCUGAGUAUUGGCGGAAUGGACUUGCAUUUGCCUACCAAGCCCCAGAUCACUGAAACUAGGCAGUACAGUGUACUUUCAGAGCAAAAUAUCUAUUUGUUAAAACAACUCAACUUUAAACAUGAACCAACAAAGCAGAGUAGGAACUUUGAAGUCCCCUCUAUCAUCUUAUAAUUAGAUCCUUUACAUAUUUUUGACUAUAAUCAGUCAUAGCAUUAAUCUAACCUUGGCUUUUUAUCUUGUGACUUUGAUUUAAAAUUACAUAUGAAUUCACCUUGAAUUCUACCUUUUUCCAUGAAAUCUUGUGUGUGUGUGUGUGUGUGUGUGUGUGUGUGUGUCACCUACCAUAGACAGCACUUUAAUCAGGCAUCAAAAAAGGAAUUAUCUUCAGCCUGAUGUUUUUUCUGACCAAUGUGAACACCAGGCACACACCUGGUACACAGACAUACACACAAGCAAAGUACUCAUACACAUAAAGAGUUAAAAGUUGCCAGGCGGUGGUGGCACACACGCCUUUAAUCCCAGCCCCGGGAGGCAGAGGCAGGUGCAUCUCUGUGAGUUCGAGACUAGCCUGGUCUACAAGGGCUUGUUCCAGGAUAGCCUCCAAAGCCAGAGAGAAACCCUGUCUCAAACCACACCCCGCCCCCCCCCAAAAAAAAAAGAGUUAAAAGUUGACUCAGAAAUAAAUGGAAGUCUGGAUGGACCAGCUAUUGAAGAAAAUUCUAGUAGACUAGUAAAAGUGAACAAAAAUCUUAUUCAGGGACUAUAGACAUGCCUCAGCAGUUAAGAACACUGGCUGCUCUUCCAGUAGACCCAGGUUCAAUUCCCAUCACUCUCAUGGUGGCUCCACAACCAUCUUAACUCCAGUUUCAGGAGCUCCAAUGCCUUUUCUGGCCUCCAUGAAUUUUAACUGCAUGUGUACUUGCAUGUGGUACACAGACUUACAACCCAGCAAAGCAGCCAUGCACAUAAAAUAAAAUGUUCAAGAAAAAUUUUUUUAAAAAAAGUCAGACAUGGUGGUGCACAUCUCCCAAUCCCAGCAUUUGGGAGGCAGAACAGUCAAUCUCUUAAAUUCAAGGCCAACCUGGUCUAUGUACUGAGUUACAGGACAGCCAAGGCUACAUAGAGAAACCCCGUCUCAAAAACCAAACCAAAACAAAAAAGUCUAAGUCUUAUACCUUGGCUGAUGAGAGGACUCAGUAGGUAAAGAGCUUGCCAUUCAAGCAUGAGGACUUGAGUUUGAAUCCCCAGAAUCCAAGUAAAGCCAAACUAGGUAGCAAACAUCUUCUACCCCAGUGCCUUGACAGCAAGAGGGGAAGCCGACCUGAGAGGACCAUUGAAAGUUCAUGAGCAUGCUAACUUGUCAUGUGCAGCAGCAAACAACAAAGAGACCUUGUCUCGAGGUGGAAGGCAAGGACUGACACUGAGAUUGUCCUUUGACUACCACAUCUGAUCUUACACACACCAGACUAGCUGUGGCUCUGGUAGAAUGCUUGCUUACCUUGCAUGCGUAAGCACUGAAGAAAAAAAAAGUCUUGGAGUGAAAUGGCUAAGUAGUGAAGAACACUUCACUUGUUCAGUUCUUAGCACCCACAUGGCAUCUGAGCUCCAGGGAAUCUGUACCUCUCCUGACUUUUGUGGACACCAGCAUGCAUUUGCUGUUACACACACACACACACACACACACACACACACACACACA
ensembl:lncRNA